AGGGGCUUGUUCUAAGCAUGAUGAUUGGGUUGAUCACACGGCUGUGUGAGAUGUGCCUCCCUCUAAACCUUGUUACGACGCCUCACAUGACCCGUCCAACA
ensembl:snoRNA